UAGUUUUGUUUUUAGUUCUUUGAAUAAUCUCCAAACUGCUUUUCACUUUGACUGAACUAAUUUACCUUCCCACCAACAGUGUAAAAGUGUUCCUAUUUCUCC